CACCAGGUUGAUUCUGCCUGACGUAGACGCUAUACUCUAAGAUUAACCCAUGCAUGUUUAUUGAAUAUAAAGAAAAGACGAACAGCUCAGUAACUCUUAUUUGAUUUGAUGUAUUAGGAUUCUAACUAUGUUAAAUUAUAGGUAACAAUAAUACAAUAAGAAUAAGAUCUAUCAGUUAGUUGUUAAGGUAAUGGCUUAACAAGACUAUGACGGAUAACGGUAUUACUUUGUAAUAUUCCGGAGAAGGAGCCUGAGAGAUUGCUACUAAGUCUAAGGAUUGCAGCAGGGGCGAAACUUGACCUAUGAUAUUAUAUUGAGGCAGUUAUGAGUAGUAUUUUAUAAUUAUUGUAGUAUUGUAAGUACAUAUUACAAGAUAAAUCGGAGGGCAAAUCGAGUGCCAGCAGCCGCGGUAAUACUUGUUCCGAUAGUGUGUAUGAUGAUUGAUGCAGUUAAAAAGUCUGUAGUUUAUUUAUAAUAAGCAUUGUAAGGUAUACUGUAUGGUUAGGAGAGAGAUGAAAUGUGAUAACCCUAACUGGAUGAACAGAAGCGAAAGCUGUAUACUUAAAUGUAUUAUUAGAACAAGGACGUAAGCUAGAGGAUCGAAGAUGAUUAGAUACCAUUGUAGUUCUAGCAGUAAACUAUGUUGAAUCAUAGAUAUAUUUUGAUAUAUAUUUAUGUAGAGAAAUUAAGAUUAUAUUGACUCUGGGGAUAGUAUGAUCGCAAGAUUGAAAAUUAAAGAAAUUGACGGAAGAAUACCACAAGGAGUGGAUUGUGCGGCUUAAUUUGACUCAACGCGGGGUAAUUUACCAGGUAUAACAUGGUAUAAUAUUUUAUCAUGAUAGUGGUGCAUGGCCGUUUCCAAUGGAUGCUGUGAAGUAAUGAUUAAUUUCAACAAGAUGUGAGACCCUCAUUUAGACAGAUGUAGUGAUACAUAUGAAGGAGAGGAUUAAAACAGGUCCGUUAUGCCCUAAGAUAAUCUGGGUUGCACGCGCAAUACAAUAAUAUUUGAUAUUAUAAGGGAUAAUAUAAUGUAAGAUAUAUUUGAACAUGGAAUUGCUAGUAAAUUUUAUUUAAUAAGUAGAAUUGAAUGAGUCCCUGUUCUUUGUACACACCGCCCGU
rnacentral:rRNA from 1 species